GCUCCUGUUGCUUUGGUAUUGAAACACCUCCCUUUCCUACAUGUUUUUAAUUCUUGCAACCCUAUUACAAACGAAAGAUGUUUUUUGUUUUUUUUUCCUUGGUUUACAGGACAGACCCAGUGCUGUCAAGAAAACUACCUCAGGCUGUAUCAGCAGGCAUCAUCUGUCUAUCCAGCUUUCCGUUCCCAUCUUUACAUUAUCUCUAAAUUCAAGGCAGGCGAUUUGCUGCUUGUCUUCUGUGGGCAUUACUCAAACCUUUCUCCUGGAGGCUUUAGGACUUGCCACGGUCAGAGCUAGGAAGAGGUUGGAACCCGUUUAAAAAGGUCCUGAGCCCCCGUGUCCUGUGGAUCUGCUCUGCAUGUUGCCUGCAUUGCGAGCUGCGCAAUGAACAAUAAACCUGGUGCUCCAUGCUGCUGCAUGUAGAAGAUGAAAUGUUGGCCCAGGCUGUCUUUCUGGAGGCUCACGAGUGACAGAUGUUGCUUUAGUUAAGGUAACCUAACGAGAAGGCUGAGCCUGAUGCUGCUGUGCCACUGCCACUUGCUAGAGUUGCUCCAAAUGCCCUCCCUUCGGAGAGAAAUACUGGGAUUGUUGGCCCCAGCGCCCUGACUCUGGUAAUUCCUAUGGUAACAGGAGUAGGAGGCUGCAUCUUUCAGGACCCUUUGUGUGCUUUAGACGGUCUUUGGAUAUACAUACAACACUGCUUUAUCUUAAUUUUUAUUUCAAUAGUAUCUCUGGAAACAAAUAGCACCAUAGGGCAGAGCCAUCUUCCCUGAGAGACUCCCCUCCAACAACAGCCCAGGCUGACUCAGGUCCAGGAGAAUCCUAUCAAAUGCAGCCCAAAUGUCUGAGCAAGGCAUCAUCUUCCUAUUUGCAUCCACACUUAAAUUUGCAGAGCUUUUCAAACCUGCCCCUGGAGGCCUUCACCCGAGGAGUCUGCAAAAGGUAACUCAAAGAGAAAACCAUCUCAGGAUGGGAUUUCCAGAGGGAAACUUGGAGGCUUCUACAGGUUGGAAAAAAAAAAAAAAGGCUAAAAACCCACUAGUCCAUAUGAAUGAAAGAACUCAGUGGAAAGCUCUCCCUUUCACUCCCUUGCAAGAUUAAAACUGCUUUUGGCAAAGCAGGAGACGUCUCCGUGAUUUCACAUUCAGCUGUAGGGCCAGACGGAAUCCCUCGGAGCGCUGGGCUGACCUCCUGCACGCCGCUGGCCAGGGAUUUCCACCUCCGCUCCCGCGCACUCUGAGCAGUCCCCGGUGGAGCUGGGACGUUGUCUCUGCGGGAGAGGCAUCCAGUCGUGCUGCAGGGAUCACAAACAACUGGGGAAUUCGCUGCCUCUCCCCGCCCUGGUAAGCUCUUCCAAGGGCUGGAUGUGCCAGCAACGCCAUUUACUCAUAUGGAAAAACAGGAUGACUAAGAAAAUACUCAGUGUGAGCUUGGUCCUGAUGGAUUUUAAUGCAGUUUGGCACAUGAGGGGAAGGGAAGAAGAGGAGGAGCUUAAAUCGUCACUAUCGAAUGUUCCCAAUGCCCAUCUGUAAGUGCAAAACCUCCUUACCUUGUCUUUAGCACUUAGAUUUAGGAAAGCCACCUCACCUGUUACUAUACCAUGCUUUUACGGUGGCCUUUUCAUCUGCUGUCUUCUGUGCCAGUAUGACAUAUCCCCAAAAUGUCCAUCUCCUCCAUAUUACUAAAAUUCCCAUCAGUGGCUGCAUCUCUGCUUCCUGCUUUGUCUCUGUUUGACAGUACUCACUGCAGGAACAUCCAGGCCAGCUCAGCAUGUGCUGCUUGGCCUUGUUCUUAUUCCACGGCUCAGAUUUGUGCAGAAGGUGUUUAUAAUUAGUCCAGAAAAGUUGAGUUUCGAUGCACUUUCUCAUCACAUCAGACUUUGCUUCUGCAUGAAGGUUUGCAAAUGCAAGCCUUGAGUGGCUGGGGAAAUUUCAAGUCUAGGUGAAGACUGGUUGGAUGGAAUUAGUGACAGGUAAAGUCUCUGUUCUGCAUCCUUCGUUAGGCCCUAUCUCUCUAUUUUUACCUCUGUGAGAGUCUAAUCUUUUCCCUUAAGGCCUUUGAUGAUAGUGGGAGCAAGAAAACGCUUAACCCAAGGCCUCUUUUUGUUCUGGUCACAUAUGAAAGAAGAGCAGAGAGCUUUUGCUUUAGUUGCAGACAGGAACAGAAAUCCUCGCUGAGAAAACCCGACUCCACAGGAGGUGCGUCUCAGAACAAGGGAGAAGCGUGUCGUGUCCACACAAGCCAACAGUAGCACAGCCUGCUACAGACCCCAUGGGCUGCUGAGAAUCUCUAUCAUUCACAUCUCAUGAACUGGUUUGGCGCAUCUCCAGAGGACAUUGGCAGCUGUUCAAGGCCCUGCAAGGUGCUGAACAUGCAGAAGUUCCCGUUGUCUCCGACGUGUGCUUGCGCACGGGGAUGGAUUACCUGAGUUUGCCAGUGCGAGGGGGAUUGGGAUUUGGCUGGGCUCGUGUCUGUCAGUGGUGAAGGCUUUGUAAAAGGGCUUUCCGCUUCGCCUGUGAACUGCAGCUGCUUCUCCAAAUGCAAUAGUGUCCUGUAGGUUACAGCAGCUGCUUGCACCCUAAUGUUGCAUGGCUGCAGGUAAGGCCAUGGGGCAGGCAUCAGGACGGUGGAUGAGAUGGAUGCACGUGAGGACAGGAAUGGAGAAAUGCUGAAAGCCCGUUGUGUUGGUGCCACAACGGAGAGGGAGAACAGCCCCUGAGUGGGCCAUGGUGAUGCUGCUGGUUGGGGGUAAAUGGUAAAGGGUAACUGACUUGCUUUGAGCUCUGCACGCUGUCACAGGGUGUGUGAUUUUUUUGCUGGGGUUGUGGAUAGGUGGGAAGGGCCGAUUGGGAAUCAGGAGCAGGAGAACUGAGGGAGCUGGGGACAAGCAGUGGCCGUGAGCUGCGGGAAGGGUGUGAAGGAGCCCUGGGGGUGCAGGACCAUAUCCCAGGGGUGAGAGUGGGGCAGGAAGGGGGGCACAGGGUGUGGGAGAGCCCCAGCCCACGAGCGUGCUCUUAGCACGUGUAUUCACGCACGUGGUUCUCUCAAUUGGUCCUGAAAGGGGCUGCGACUGGGGAUAAAAUGUCAUGGUAGCAGCCAGUGGCUAUAAAACCCUGGGUCUAAACGAAAGGGAAAAAGUGACAAGGGGAAAAGCAAGGUCGGCCCCACCUUGCAGGGUCUGCUCUGGAAUGUGUUUGCACUCCAGGGUGUGCAGUGCCUGAGAGUGCGUUAGCAGCAGUGUUGAGUUAGUAAUACGAACCCUAUACAAAUACCUCCGGGGCAGACAGGUCCAUUUCAGGCUGUGUUUAUUUAAUAAAGAGCCAGUGAAGUAACUGCAAUUUCAUUGUCAAUUUACUAAUGCGUUACAGUUAUGUUUCUUAACCUCAUUGUUUGGGCUCAGGAGCUUGCAGUGCCUGGCCAAAACUUUCCUUUUUUCUCCCCCUUGUUCCCCCCCUCAAGUGUAAAACACGUUUUAUUAUGACUAGAAUGUCUUCUAUUUAUCAAAAGCUGGGAUUAGAACCCUCAACUCCCC